GGGAACGGGGUGCGAAGGGGCAUGCCGGUCUCCAAAACCGCGCGGUCCGGGUUCGAGUCCCGGCGUUCCCGCCA
rnacentral:tRNA from 1 species